AUUGAACGCUGGCGGCAGGCUUAACACAUGCAAGUCGAGCGGGGUGAGGUGCUUCGGUACUGAUCCUAGCGGCGGACGGGUGAGUAAUGCUUAGGAAUCUGCCAUUUAGUGGGGGACAACAUUCCGAAAGGAAUGCUAAUACCGCAUACGUCCUACGGGAGAAAGCAGGGGAUCUUCGGACCUUGCGCUAAAUGAUGAGCCUAAGUCGGAUUAGCUAGUUGGUGGGGUAAAGGCCUACCAAGGCGACGAUCUGUAGCGGGUCUGAGAGGAUGAGCCGCCACACUGGGACUGAGACACGGCCCAGACUCCUACGGGAGGCAGCAGUGGGGAAUAUUGGACAAUGGGCGGAAGCCUGAUCCAGCCAUGCCGCGUGUGUGAAGAAGGCCUUUUGGUUGUAAAGCACUUUAAGCGAGGAGGAGGCUACCUGGAUUAAUACUCUAGGAUAGUGGACGUUACUCGCAGAAUAAGCACCGGCUAACUCUGUGCCAGCAGCCGCCGUAACAC
rnacentral:rRNA from 1 species